rnacentral:rRNA from 1 species
CUACGUAGGGGGCAAGCGUUAUCCGGAUUUACUGGGUGUAAAGGGAGCGUAGACGGUAUGGCAAGUCUGAUGUGAAAACCCAAGGCUCAACCAUGGGAUUGCAUUGGAAACUGUCAAACUUGAGUGCUGGAGGGGUAAGCGGAAUUCCUAGUGUAGCGGUGAAAUGCGUAGAUAUUAGGAAGAACACCGGCGGCGAAGGCGGCUUACUGGACAGUAACUGACGUUGAGGCUCGAAAGCGUGGGGAGCAAACAGGAUUAGAUACCCUGGUGGUCCACGCCGUAAACGAUGAAUACUAGGUGUUGGCUUCCACAGGGAGUCGGUGCCGCAGCUAACGCAAUAAGUAUUCCACCUGGGGAGUACGUUCGCAAGAAUGAAACUCAAAGGAAUUGACGGGG